ensembl:snoRNA
AUCCUUCUGUAGUUCAUGAGCGUGAUGAUUGGGUGUUCGCAUACAUGUGUGAGAUGUGCCACCCCCUGAACCUAGUUACGAUGUGGGGACAUUACCUGUCUGACC